rnacentral:lncRNA from 1 species
CAGCUGGUCAGUGCUCUCGCACACACACACACACACACACACACACAGAGCUCAAUUGGCCAAUUCACAAUGCGUUUGGCUCACAAUAGAUUUUUCUAAAAGCCUGAGUGUAGCAAAGACAGAAUCAGAGCAAUCCUGUGGUCUGCCUAUUGUAGAAGAUCAAAGUAGAUAUCUGUGGUAGCUUUUCUGGCCUCGCUGUCUCUGAAUCCCUGGCCAUUUGACUCAUAAAAACGAAGGUAGUGCUGGCACUAGAGAGCAGGUGAUACAAGAGAAAGAGCAAAGUGUUGGAGAAUCCAGGAUGUAAAGGAGGUUUGAGCUGGGUAUGAAGCACUUGUUCUGCAGCACUGUCAGCCAGAUCUGCAAGCAAAUGUAAUUCCCAGCCCCAGGCAGGGAGCCCAGGUGCUUCAGUGACACCAAUCUUUGAGCUGCCCAAUUUUGCAUUAACUUAGGUGUAACUACAGGACCUGCAGUCACACCUUGCAGUGUCAAAGGGGCAUGUCCUGCCAGAGUCUCGUACACCAGGCUUUUUCAAGAGAGGCGAAGUGCCAGCUUGCACAACCUCCUUCACCAGGAAACAGCAUCCAGCACUCGCUCAGAACACAGUGAGAGCCUUGCAGAGCUCCAUGAAGAAAAGCCAUGUACACCUCAGCUGCCCAGUCACUGCUCCAGAAAUGCAGUCCUGGAGAGGUUGCUGCAGGAUGAGCCCAGUGCAGAAAGCUAUCAACCCAGGCUCAGGCUAAGACAUAAACUGUCCAUUUUUUCACAAUGUAGCACCUCUGCUGAUAAGUUGAACAGAACACCAGUGCCAGAAAAAUCAGUCUUCUCUUGCUAUCCUAAGGGCUUGCAGUGA